rnacentral:ncRNA from 1 species
AGAACUGAUAAUUCGAUAGGUGGAAUGAGAGAGUAACGCCUUGAAACGCCUACCCUGAGACUCCGAACGGCUCUUGCCAAAAGCAAGAUGUUCGUAAGCUCGGUAAAGUCGGUGGAAGCAUACCCAAACAGAUAGUAAUAUGCUGUGGAAAGGUAGAUAGAGGUAUCUGAUGUAUGUGACACGCCGGGGGUCUAAAAA